UUAGCCCAAUUACCUAAACUACCCACAAAGCCCAACAACUUAAAGCCCAAAGCCCACUAAACCUAAACUAGCAGAAAUCUUAAUUUUUCCCCUAAACCUUCAGUGCCAUUCCCUCGCCACUUCAGCAAGCACGCCUCCAACUAUUACCCGUACCCCUUAUUGCCGCCACCACCUGUAAAAAGAACAGAGACAGACAAAUAAAAGAAGGAAAGAAAUAGAUAUAAAAAAAAGAAAAAGAAAAAGUAAAUAUGUUGUAAUAUUCGGCUAUAAAGCCGAAGACACCAUGUAACACAAAAAAAAAAGAAUUCAGAAAAAGAAACAAAGUUUAAAAGGUAGUUCAUUUAUUGUUUCUUUAUUUUUUCUUCGAAGAACACACACACAUAUAUAUAUAAGUAAAUAAAUAAAAACAAAAGAUUUUAAAAAAAUUACCUAUUAAGUGCCACCGUAGAACCCCUUUUCUUCAGCUCGAGAAACCUCGAAACUCCUUAGGUUUUUGUCGAGGGCCUCGUUGAAAAGGGGAGAAAUCGAAAGGUUUCUCUACUUUCGGCCGAACUUUGACUAAUUUUCUAGGGAUUUGAACCCCAGAUCUGUGUUCCAUGUGAAAAGGGGAAAAAGGGAUAUUUUUGGGGAAUUUUUGGCCACCAGAGGCGGCAGUCACCAUCCCUGAUAACCAGUGGCCGCGGCGAACGUAUGAAGGCUCCAUGGCUGGACGAGUGGGUGGCUUGAGA
rnacentral:lncRNA from 1 species